rnacentral:rRNA from 1 species
UACGGAGGGUGCAAGCGUUAUCCGGAUUCACUGGGUUUAAAGGGUGCGUAGGCGGACAUGUAAGUCCGUGGUGAAAUCUCCGAGCUUAACUCGGAAACUGCCAUGGAUACUUUAUGACUUGAAUGUUGUGGAGGUUAGCGGAAUAUGUCAUGUAGCGGUGAAAUGCAUAGAUAUGACAUAGAACACCAAUUGCGAAGGCAGCUGGCUACACAAAUAUUGACGCUGAGGCACGAAAGCGUGGGGAGCAAACAGG